rfam:Roseivivax atlanticus strain 22II-s10s contig29, whole genome shotgun sequence.
AAUCAAGCGCGAGAAGGGCGUUUGGUGGAUGCCUUGGCAGUAAGAGGCGAUGAAGGACGUGAUACUCUGCGAUAAGCUUGGGGGAGCCGAGAAUAGGCUUUGAUCCCAGGAUCUCCGAAUGGGGCAACCCACCUGAAUGUUUGUUGUUAUUGCCUUCGGGCAGCUAACAGCAGGCAUGAACAGGUACUCAUUACCUGAAUACAUAGGGUUUUGAGAGCAAACCCGGGGAACUGAAACAUCUAAGUACCCGGAGGAAAGGACAUCAAUAGAGACUCCGUCAGUAGCGGCGAGCGAACGCGGACCAGCCGAACCCUGAGCGUGACCGGAAAUACCUGGAAAGGUAUGCCAGAGCGGGUGACAGCCCCGUACGGGAAGCGUGAUGGGACGUAUCAAGUAGGGCGGGACACGUGAAAUCCUGUCUGAAGAUCGGGGGACCACCCCCGAAGGCUAAGUACUCCUUACUGACCGAUAGCGAACCAGUACCGUGAGGGAAAGGUGAAAAGCACCCCGACGAGGGGAGUGAAACAGUACCUGAAACCGAGCGCCUACAAUCAGUCGGAGCUUGACUGGACUCUUAUGACGAUCCGGGGCCAUGACUUCUGCACCAGGCAGGAGACACUAUCAUGGCAGACGGAACAUUCGCAGCAUUGCUGCUCGUCGCGGGCCUCACCGACAUGGGGCUCAAUCAUUGCGGCAUGGCCGACGGGUGCCUCGGGCGCUCGGAAGACCAACCCAGACUGGCCGUCUCGGCCGGGUCUGUGCUGCCACGACGGGCGGACGAAGCCGCGGAGCUUUACCUUCGCUACGAUCCACGGACCCGCUUCGGUCCCUUCGGCACGGCCCUCGGCCUGUCGCUGGGCGAAGAGGGCGAGACGUGGCUCGGAGCCGGGGUGACCUGGGACUGGCGCUUCGGCGGCUCACCGUUCUACGGCGAGCUGCACGCGAUGCCCGGUCUCUACCUCGACAACGGGGGCUUCGAUCUCGGCGGACCGAUCGCGUUCCGCUCGGGGGUGGAGCUCGGGUACGAGGCGAUCAACGGCUGGCGUUACGCGGUCAGCUACGAUCACCGCUCCAAUGCGGGGAUAUACGACGACAAUCCGGGCAUCGAGACGGUGCAGUUCCGGGUGUCGAUCCCGCUGCGAUGAGGAUCAUCAUAAGUGUCCAGUCUUGUGACGGCGUACCUUUUGUAUAAUGGGUCAUCGACUUGGUCUAUCUAGCAAGCUUAAGCCGGUAGGUGUAGGCGCAGCGAAAGCGAGUCUUAAUAGGGCGUCGAGUUAGAUGGAUCAGACCCGAAACCGAGUGAUCUAGGCAUGACCAGGAUGAAGGUUAGGUAACACUAACUGGAGGUCCGAACCCACACCUGUUGAAAAAGGUCGGGAUGAGUUGUGCCUAGGGGUGAAAGGCCAAUCAAACUCGGAGAUAGCUGGUUCUCCGCGAAAUCUAUUUAGGUAGAGCGUCAUCCGAAUACCCCGGGGGGUAGAGCACUGGAUGGGUAAUGGGGCCCCACAGGCUUACUGAUCCUAACCAAACUCCGAAUACCCGGGAGUACUAGAUGGCAGACACACUGCGGAUGCUAACGUCCGUAGUGGAGAGGGAAACAACCCUGACCUCCAGCUAAGGCCCCCAAUUCAUGGCUAAGUGGGAAAGCAGGUGAGACGGCCAAAACAACCAGGAGGUUGGCUUAGAAGCAGCCAUCCUUUAAAGAUAGCGUAACAGCUCACUGGUCUAAUUAAGCUGUCUUGCGGCGAAGAUGUAACGGGGCUCAAGCCAUGAGCCGAAGCUGAGGACGCGAGAGCGUGGUAGCGGAGCGUAGUGUGACAUAAUCUCAUGCCUCCUUCGAUCCUUCGGGAUCAUUGGAGGCGCGAGGUUUACUGUGAAGCCGGCGCGUGAGCGAUCCGGUGGAGUGAUCACUAGCGAGAAUGAUGACAUGAGUAGCGACAAGGAGUGUGAGAGACACUCCCGCCGAAAGUCCAAGGGUUCCUGCUUAAAGCUAAUCUGAGCAGGGUAAGCCGGCCCCUAAGGCGAGGCCGAAAGGCGUAGUCGAUGGGAACCAGGUUAAUAUUCCUGGGCCAGGAGAUGGUGACGGAUUGUUCGAACCGUGCGUCCCUUAUCGGAUUGGGGCGUAUACGCGACAGUCCCUGGAAACAGCCCUCCAUCGGACCGUACCCUAAACCGACACAGGUGGACAGGUAGAGUAUACCAAGGCGCUUGAGAGAACGACGUUGAAGGAACUCGGCAAAAUACCUCCGUAAGUUCGCGAGAAGGAGGCCCGGGCUAUGAUGUCCGGGGGCACAAACCAGGGGGUGGCGACUGUUUACUAAAAACACAGGGCUCUGCGAAGCCGUAAGGCGACGUAUAGGGUCUGACGCCUGCCCGGUGCCUGAAGGUUAAAAGGAGGGGUGCAAGCUCCGAAUUGAAGCCCAGGUAAACGGCGGCCGUAACUAUAACGGUCCUAAGGUAGCGAAAUUCCUUGUCGGGUAAGUUCCGACCUGCACGAAUGGCGUAACGACUUCCCCGCUGUCUCCAACGUCGACUCAGCGAAAUUGAAUUGCCGGUCAAGAUGCCGGCUCCCCGCGGUUAGACGGAAAGACCCCGUGCACCUUUACUACAGCUUCAGACUGGCACCAGGCCAGGCAUGUGCAGGAUAGGUGGUAGGCUUCGAAGCAGGGACGCCAGUCUCUGUGGAGCCACCCUUGAGAUACCACCCUUGCCUCGCUUGGUGUCUAACCGCGGCCCGUUAUCCGGGUCCGGGACCCUCUGUGGCGGGUAGUUUGACUGGGGCGGUCGCCUCCUAAAUCGUAACGGAGGCGCGCGAAGGUUGGCUCAGAGCGGUCGGAAAUCGCUCGUUGAGUGCAAUGGCAGAAGCCAGCCUGACUGCGAGACUGACAAGUCGAGCAGAGUCGAAAGACGGCCAUAGUGAUCCGGUGGUCCCAAGUGGGAGGGCCAUCGCUCAACGGAUAAAAGGUACGCCGGGGAUAACAGGCUGAUACUGCCCAAGAGUCCAUAUCGACGGCAGUGUUUGGCACCUCGAUGUCGGCUCAUCUCAUCCUGGGGCUGGAGCAGGUCCCAAGGGUACGGCUGUUCGCCGUUUAAAGAGGUACGUGAGCUGGGUUUAGAACGUCGUGAGACAGUUCGGUCCCUAUCUGCCGUGGGUGUAGGAGACUUGAGAGGAGUUGACCCUAGUACGAGAGGACCGGGUUGAACGAUCCACUGGUGGACCUGUUGUUGCGCCAGCAGCAGUGCAGGGUAGCUAUGAUCGGACAGGAUAACCGCUGAAGGCAUCUAAGCGGGAAGCCCCCCUCAAAACAAGGUCUCCCUGAGGGCCGUGGUAGACGACCACGUCGAUAGGCUGGAGGUGUAAGCGUGGCAACACGCUCAGCUGACCAGUACUAAUGGCCCGACAGGCUUGGUUCG